rnacentral:rRNA from 1 species
CCUACGGGAGGCAGCAGUGGGGAAUUUUGGACAAUGGGCGCAAGCCUGAUCCAGCCAUUCCGCGUGAGUGAAGAAGGCCUUCGGGUUGUAAAGCUCUUUCGCAAGGGAAGAAAGAUUACAUUCUAAUAUAAUGUGAUUAUGACGGUACCUUGAUAAGAAGCACCGGCUAACUACGUGCCAGCAGCCGCGGUAAUACGUAGGGUGCGAGCGUUAAUCGGAAUUACUGGGCGUAAAGCGUGCGCAGGCUGUUUUGUAAGUCAGAUGUGAAAUCCCCGAGCUCAACUUGGGAACUGCGUUUGAAACUACAAGACUAGAAUAGGUCAGAGGGGGGUAGAAUUCCACGUGUAGCAGUGAAAUGCGUAGAGAUGUGGAGGAAUAUCAAUGGCGAAGGCAGCCCCCGUGGGAUCAUAUUGACGCUCAUGCACGAAAGCGUGGGGAGCAAACAGGAUUAGAUACCCUGGUAGUCCACGCCCUAAACGAUGUCAACUAGUUGUUGGUAGAGUAAAAUCUAUGAGUAACGCAGCUAACGNGUAGAGUUGACCGCGUGGGAGUACGNCGACGAAGUAAUUAAAACGUUAAAGUGAAGUUGGUACGGACGUAGAGACGNGCGACGGACGACGACGAGGGGAGGAGG